GAUGAACGCUGGCGGCGUGCCUAAUACAUGCAAGUCGAGCGAACAGACGUGGAGCUUGCUCCUCUGACGUUAGCGGCGGACGGGUGAGUAACACGUGGAUAACCUACCUAUAAGACUGGGAUAACUUCGGGAAACCGGAGCUAAUACCGGAUAAUAUAUUGAACCGCAUGGUUCAAUAGUGAAAGACGGUUUUGCUGUCACUUAUAGAUGGAUCCGCGCCGCAUUAGCUAGUUGGUAAGGUAACGGCUUACCAAGGCAACGAUGCGUAGCCGACCUGAGAGGGGGAUCGGCCACACUGGAACUGAGACACGGUCCAGACUCCUACGGGAGGCAGCAGUAGGGAAUCUUCCGCAAUGGGCGAAAGCCUGACGGAGCAACGCCGCGUGAGUGAUGAAGGUCUUCGGAUCGUAAAACUCUGUUAUUAGGGAAGAACAAAUGUGUAAGUAACUAUGCACGUCUUGACGGUACCUAAUCAGAAAGCCACGGCUAACUACGUG
rnacentral:rRNA from 1 species